rnacentral:misc_RNA from 1 species
AUAUUUAUUUAAUUUAUGCUAGGCCUAAUUGGAAACUAUUUUUCAGAUAACAAUAGCAUUAGGCUACUACUGCCUAUAUCGUACCUAUAUUUUGAGUUUUCUGUGAAGAACGAAUGGCUCAAGUUAAUGAAGCUAAUGAAAUAUCAAAAACCUACCAAAAAUAAAAAUGCCAGUUAUGUCUGCCUGUCACCACAUAGAAAGCUUUCCGAAAGACACAAUUCCUUGGUGAACCUAUUGUACUGCAUCAUAAAAGCGGAAGAAGGAGGUGAAAUCAACUUGCCGACUGUUUAGCUGUGGUAAAAGCUAUCAAAUCCAUGAAUCCAGGAACCUAUUCAAUUCUCAAGAACAUCUCUGUCAUAAUGUGGUCGGACCCGUUCACCAAGGAAGGCACAUAGAAGACUGGCUUAUGAUGGCGAAAGACUUUUGAAGGCGGUUACCUUGAUUGGGAUCAUAUCUAUUAAACCUUCGAAUCCUGCACUCAAAAGUAAAUGUGAUACCAUUCAAAUGGAAUAAGAUUGAUUUGAAUUGGAAUUUGUUAUUCCUGUAUCAUAGUGCAUUUUUCUACUAGUUACCCUACGUAUUGUACAUUAUUGUAAUAAAGCACUAGCUGUUCCAUAGUAGAAGUCUUUGAAAUAAAAGGUUUCUUUUUCAAGUUA